rnacentral:rRNA from 1 species
GAGUUUGAUCGUGGCUCAGAUUGAACGCUGGCGGCAUGCCUUACACAUGCAAGUCGAACGGCAGCAUGAUCUAGCUCGCUAGAUUGAUGGCGAGUGGCGAACGGGUGAGUAAUACAUCGGAACGUGCCCUGUAGUGGGGAUAACUAGUCGAAAGAUUAGCUAAUACCGCAUACGACCUGAGGGUGAAAGUGGGGGACCGCAAGGCCUCAUGCUAUAGGAGCGGCCGAUGUCUGAUUAGCUAGUUGGUGGGGUAAAGGCCCACCAAGGCGACGAUCAGUAGCUGGUCUGAGAGGACGAUCAGCCACACUGGGACUGAGACACGGCCCAGACUCCUACGGGGGCAGCAGUGGGGAAUUUUGGACAAUGGGCGAAAGCCUGAUCCAGCAAUGCCGCGUGUGUGAAGAAGGCCU